CUUGCUGCUUUGCUGGCGACCGGCGCACGGGUGAGUAACACGUAUCCAACCUACCCUUUACUCGGGGAUAGCCUUUCGAAAGAAAGAUUAAUACCCGAUAGCAUAAUGAUUCCGCAUGGUUUCAUUAUUAAGGAUUCCGGUAAAGGAUGGGGAUGCGUUCCAUUAGGUUGUUGGUGGGGUAACGGCCCACCAAGCCUUCGAUGGAUAGGGGUUCUGAGAGGAAGGUCCCCCACAUUGGAACUGAGACACGGUCCAAACUCCUACGGGAGGCAGCAUG
rnacentral:rRNA from 1 species